rnacentral:rRNA from 1 species
CCCUUAGAUGUCCUGGGCCGCACGCGCGCUACACUGAGUGUCUGAGAUACGAGUCUGCCUGGUCCGGCAAGGUCUAGGUAAUCGCUAAAAGACACAUCAUGCUUGGGAUAGAUUAUUGCAAAUAUUAAUCUUGAACGAGGAAUUCCUAGUAAGCGCAAGUCAACAGCUUGCGUUGAUUACGUCCCUGCCCUUUGUACACACCACCCGUCGCUACUACUGAUUGGAUGUUUAAGCGAGGUUCUCGAACUGCUAGCGACUUAGCUUCGGUGAGGUCGCAGUGUGGGAAGUGAACCUAGCUUUGGUGUCUAGAGGAAGUAAAAGUCGUAACA